rnacentral:pre_miRNA from 1 species
AUGUGAAUCCCUGGGCAAUCUUGUUAAAAUGCAGCUUCUGAUUCAGGAGGUGUGGGCGGGACCUAGAGUCUGCAUUUCUAACCAGCUUCCUGUGUUGCUAGU